AGCAACAGUAAUGAUACUACUGGAGAUAGAAACAAUACUAAAAUUUAAGACAGGAAUUCCAUUUUAUACUGUUCACCUCUAUCUGUAAGAUAUUUGCUUAGCAUUGUGGUGUUUUUCUAAACUGUUCAAUCCUCUGUAUUUGCUCUCUACAAGUUUUUAAAACUUGAGGUCUCAUUAACUAUUUUAAACCUCAAGCUUAUAGUCUCCACCCUCCACUCCUCCAGAUCCCUGAAAUUUAUGGUGAAGGAUGUUGACCUGAUGAAACAGAUCUGUGGUCAUGGGUUUGAGAAGUGGCUUUCAACAAGGGGUGAUUUUGCCCUCCAUGGAUCAUCUGGCAAUGUCUGGGCACAUGUUUUAGUUUCCAUGAUUGGAGGAUGCUACUGGCGUCUGGAAACACUAGGGGGAAAAAAACAGAUAAAUAAGGCUAAAGAGAAAGGAUGUCACCAGAGUGUGUCUGGUUCCCAUAUAUCCAGAAAACAUCCCUCAUCUGCCAGGAGAUAGUUGGUUUCUAGGGGAAUGGCAGGAAGCUGAAUCCUUGUUAAUAGAGUCCAACAGAAGAAAAGGCAAUGAAUAGAUGCAAAGACGGGAGAAAGCGAACCAGAGGGAGCAGCUGUGCAUCCAAGUGCUGGGAUUGUUCCCAGAUCCCUUGUCCCCAGAGAUAGCAUUUGAACUUUCACCCUUCACCUGCCAACCAGAUGUGGUCUGCCAGACAAGCACAUGCCAUCCAUACAGCAAGUCCUCAGUAAAUAUCUCACACUCUUUUAGAGUAUUAAAUCUUGAAAGACUUUGAAGAUUGUUCCAUCUAGCUCCCUCCUGUAAAUAAAAUGUCUUGCAUUUUACCUCUGUAAAGAGGGCUCUUUACACAUCAGAUCUUAUUUUAAGUGAUUUAACACUCUUCACAACCCUGGGAGGUAGUUGUUGUCCUGGAGUGGGGACAGGGGUUGCCACAGAGUGAAAGGACAGAAGUUGAACUGGAUUAAGUUACAAAAGAAUUGUGAAAAACUG
rnacentral:lncRNA from 10 species